rnacentral:tmRNA from 1 species
GUCAUCGGGCUAAACUUAUAGUUGCCAACGACAACUAUGCGGAAGCUCGUCUCGCUGCUUAAUGCGGCGCGAACGCUUCAAAUCAAGCCCUAGCGGUUCGCACUUCUAGGCGGGGUUCGGAGGUACCUGGCAACAGAAACCUCCACU